rnacentral:rRNA from 1 species
UCCAGACUCCUACGGGAGGCAGCAGUGGGGAAUAUUGCACAAUGGGGGAAACCCUGAUGCAGCGACGCCGCGUGAGCGAUGAAGUAUUUCGGUAUGUAAAGCUCUAUCAGCAGGGAAGAAAAUGACGGUACCUGACUAAGAAGCCCCGGCUAACUACGUGCCAGCAGCCGCGGUAAUACGUAGGUGGCAAGCGUUAUCCGGAAUGAUUGGGCGUAAAGGGUGCGCAGGCGGAACCAUAAGUCUGAAGUAAAAGCCAUCGGCUCAACCGAUGUAAGCUUUGGAAACUGUGGAUCUGGAGUGCAGGAGAGGACAGUGGAAUUCCAUGUGUAGCGGUAAAAUGCGUAGAUAUAUGGAGGAACACCAGUGGCGAAGGCGGCUGUCUGGCCUGUAACUGACGCUGAGGCACGAAAGCGUGGGGAGCAAAUAGGAUUAGAUACCCUGGUA